UUGUUCCCUGGCAGGGUGGGCAGGCCCUGGCACAGGGUGCCCAGAGCAGCUGUGGCUGCCCCUGGAUCCCUGGCAGUGCCCAAGGCCAGGCUGGGCAGGCUUGGAUCACCCUGGGACAGUGGGAGAUGUCCCUGCCAUGGCAGGAGGUGACACAAGAUCCUCUUUAAGGCUCCUCCAACCCCAGCCCUCCCGUGCCUGUUCCCAGCAGCGCUGUGAGAGCCCAGAGUCACCCAGCAGGGUGUGAUUUGUGCCAAAACCCAGCCACAUCCCCCCAAACCCUGCCUGCCCCAGCACCAGACACGCUCAGACCAGCCCAGAUUUUUUCUCUGGUAGCAAAUGACCACAUUCCCUCCUCGCAGCUCCUCUCCUGCACUGAUCAAAAAACCAAAAAAAACCCAAAAAACCCCUUAACAAACAGGCAUCAUCCGUGCCCCGGGGAGCAGAGCAAGCUGCUUUUCUUUUUCUUGGCUGGCUCAGCCCGUGCUGGGGUUGUGGGACCUUUUUUCAUCUCGGCACUUGGAGGAGCGGAGUAAAACCAGGAUGAUGAAUGGUGGAAAAAUCACAGGCUGGCUCUGCUCGGAGCCUCUCCCCUGCAGCUCCUCCUCUCGCUGCACUGCUUCCAGCACCCCACAGCUCCCUGCCUCCCUGCGUGUUAUGGCACCUUUGGGAUGUGUUAGUCAUAAGCGUGAAGCUACUGGUGCUGUGCAGGGAGAUUUUCACUCUGGCUCUGGCAGGAGAGCUCUGACACAGCCCUGCUGUCGGCCCUGCCGCUCGCCGGGGCCUCCUCAGGUUCCAGACUGCUCAAAAAAAAGGGGAAAAGGCCAAUUUUUAUUUCCUCAGGGAACAAUAAGAAAAUUUCUCUUUCUGAGCCCAUCUCCUUCUGAAACGAGCCCCAGGAGUGGUCACAACCUGCCAUAAAAAUGCCAUGUGCAGGAGAAUAUAUUGAAUAUCGGGCAGGCAGCAUGGAACGAUACGAUCUGUUUGGGGUUUGAAGCAUCAAGGUUCCAGCUCUGCUCCUUGGGAACCUCCCUAUUCCCCUGUGUAGGGCUGGGUUCACCCAGAUCACAGACAGACAGGUUUCCAAAAAUCUCCCUCAAAGCUGAGGAUAAAUCUACAAAUCUCCUUGAAGAUGAAUCUCCAAAAAACCUCCUCCAAAGAUGAAGAUCAGCUCCAGCUCCAACCGCCUGGGUGAUGAGCUGGUGUUGGAUGUGCCUGGAAAACCUCCUCCCACAGCCAAGGUGAGCCCAAGAUCUGCUUUAAAACUCUGCUUUAAACCUCUGCCUUAAACCUCUGCUUUAAACCCCUGUUUAAAACCCCUUUUUAAACGGUUUUUUAAAACUCCUGCUUUAAACCUCUGCUUUAAACCACUGUUUUAAACCCCUGCUUUAAACUCCAUUUUAAACCCCUUUUUUAAACCCCUGCUUUGAGCCCCUGCCCCACCAAUAUCAAACACCCCCUGGCCCAAGCACUGAGCCCAGCCCAGCUUUGCUCUGCUCACUCCCACCGCAUCCUGCGACCAAACCUCAUUAGCAAUAACUAAUUAAACAGAAGGCCUUUCCCAGCGCUUGCUGGAGCAGAGCUGGCAGUGUGAGGUCAUGUUUGUGCCCUGUGUCAUCACGCUGAUGUCAGGGCUGCUGCCAGCACGGUCAGGGGGUGUUUGUGAGGCUGGAGAUCGAUGUUAAAUACUGGAUUUAGGAUCCACUGCAGCUCGGACUGCGUUUGACCUUCUUUGGCUGACAGGGAGCCAGAGGGGUUUUUCCAUGGCAUGAAGUUAAAGGAGUUUCCACUGGCCAGCUCUCUCCUCUCCCUCCACCAUAUCUCAGUCCUAGCUCUUAUUGGGAAUCAUAAAAAAAAAAAGAAAGAUCUCUCGGAGGAAAUAAUAAAAAUUUAUGGAAGAAAUCUCCAGAGAACAAAACAUCAAGCCAGCAAAGAGACAGAACACGAGGAAACCGCCAAGGAAUAAUGUGAAAAAUUGAUGAGCAGAGCUGCAGAUACUGGAAAACAAUAAACAAGCAGAAUCUGCUUAACCAGGGAUGAUUGUAAUGUUAUUUCUGUGGGUUGAGAACACUGAGGUUUAUAUCCAUCCGGGAUUUUGGCACUCACACAAUGGUGUAUCCAGGCAUUUCAGCUCUCUGCUGUUCUCUUUCAGACACACAAAAAUUAUGUCCACUGGUUUUUCCAUGAAAAAUUACCGGGGUUUUAUUCCAAGCUGUUCCACAAAUCAAAGCUGUCACUGCAGCGAGGGUGAAACAUUCGCCGGCUCUCAUCGCUGUCCUCCUCCCCCUGCUCUCAGGGGAGGGAGGAACAUAUGUGUUUGAGAACAAAUAAUCAUCACUGGUUGCAUUCAAAUACCGUUCUCUGGCAGAAUAAACCCGUACCUGUGAGGAAAAGCAGAGGAGGGAGGAUCUGCAGGAACAGGGAACUGCGUAUCAGGACAAAUAUUUGCAUCCCAGCCCCAGGAGGCUUCUCUUCCCUUCCCUCUGCUUCUCCUCCAGCCAUCUGUGCAUCCUCCAAACCCAGAUUUUAUUCCCCACUGUGUUUGAGAUGACACCCAGCCUUCAUCUCGAGUGAUGCUGCUGGUGGCUGAAACCUCCAGAAACGCUGGUUUGGUUCUCCAAGCAGACUGAAGCCUGGAAAUUUCCCUGCUGAUGGUUUAUAAAAGCACACCCUCACCUCAUCCCCGUAAAUCCAGCUGUCUUCACCCGGCUGUGAAACCACCACCUUCACCAACCCAUCCUUCUCCCACCAGCUCCCUCCAACCCUCCCAAGCAAUUUGGGAGCCUCAGACCCUCAGCGUUUCCUCCUGAGCCCACGAUGGCACUUUCUCUGAACAUCCUCUUAGCCUGGAGAUCUUUUUUGCUCUCCUAAUCUUCCCCAAACCAUCAUUUCUUAUCCAAAGCUGCUUAAGCACUUUGGGGAGGAACGUUCAUUUCCAGGCAAUACGUGCCCAACCUUGGCUGCUUUGCAAGAGGAGCUGCCCAUAAUCCAGAAUAAAAUUAAACCUUAAUCACCGUGUUCUGAGGGGAAGAUUUGUCACUGCCCAGCAAACAGGGAUCUUAAUGAAGAUGUUGGUUGCUCCUUGCAGGGCACA